UCUCGUGGUAGCACUUAUUCCACGAGGAUCCAUCUCUGACGCCGUGCACAUGUCCAUACGACGGAGGUUUGUCCAUCGAGACAUUUUUCAGUAUGUUCAGGGCCCGGUUGAACGGGUUGUCCCACUUGGGCAUCGUCGAUGACUGAGAUGACUCGUCGCUUUCGGUUGCCUUCUGGUGCUGCUCUUUCUGCAAAAGGAACGUUGAUGGUUUACAAA
rnacentral:lncRNA from 1 species